CCAGGAUAUGCUACCAAAUAAUUAUUCUCAUCCACUGUGGGAUAAAAAUAAUCAAGUUAAUUUAAAUGUUUUCAAACGUACUAGGAGAGAAGGACUUAUGCUAUCACCAUGCAGUCAGUGUUCAGGAACAAUGGAAACUUACGUGGUGGGAAGUGAACAAGGCUGUGGCUGACCCAACACCACCCAGCAGCUCUCAAGCUCCAUGUGAGCUGCAGUGCAUAAGGUCCUCUGCCUAAGCCUGAUCUGGUGGCCUUCUACAAUGGAGUGACAACAUCAGUGGACAAAGUAAGGGCAACUGAUAUUGUGUACCUGGACUACUGCAAGGCCUUUGACAUGGUUCCACACCACAUCUUUAUAUCGAAAU
rnacentral:lncRNA from 1 species